CUCUGGUGUGGUUGCAGUUAUUAUUUUAAAAUCGAGUCCAGAGAGUGAAAAUGCUAAACCAAAUACUAGACUAAACAAAUAUCUAAGCACAGUUAAAUUAAAUUAAAUGCAACACUAAAUUAAAGAAAUUAAAAACAACUAAUCCUACAAUGCAAAUUAAUGCAAAACAAAGGGGUAAUUAAACAAGCUUUAGGACAAAACUUAAAGAGGAAAUGUUUCCUUAGUCAAAAGUAGCUCCAUUUGUGCUUGGCCAAAUCGGGUAAAAAAUUAAUUACACCUUCUCUCUUCCUUCUCCACUCCAUUUUCGUUUUUCUUCAACAACCAAACUUUCAAAAUGUUUCUUCCCACCUCCAAAACCGUGAACACACUCCAAGGAACCCCAUUUCAAGUUGCAACACCAUUCAAGAACAAUAAACCCACACUACUACUAAUUCAACCCAACCAAAUCUUCCAUUUCUUCAAUUUUCUUUGCAAAAAAGAAAAUAAUAUCUUAGCCAUCAAGUCCAGGUCUGUCCAGCCACAAUAACAACCCCAAAAUCUGGUUCCAUCCUUGCUUCAAACAUGAAAAACGAAAUUCAAGAAGAAAGAGCCCAAACCACAACACCCACACAUCAAGUUAAGCUCU
rnacentral:lncRNA from 1 species